UACAAACUACAAACUCUAAUUAUUUUCAAAUUUCACCCGUCGAUUGAUAAAUUUGAUUGAUUAGAUUGAUAAUGGACUUUUAAAAACUGUUUCAGCAUAGAACUUGGCUUCAGGUAUCAAGGUUUCUUUGACACUUUGGAGAAUAGUUUUGACCAACAGCAAAAUAAAUUAAAAAAUGUGCAGAGCCUCUGGUUUUUAUGUAAUUGGCACCUCAGCUGAACACAUUGAAGGAAACAGGGCAUACAGCAUUGCCAGUCAUUGCCUACUAGUCGGAGGAACAUUGGAUGAAACAGCCUCAACAAAUGACUUCAUCCGCACUUCACUACAUGACGACUCCAAUGUACUCUUUGCUUGUAACCUGGCUUCAAGCAUCGAGACUUUUAUGGCUCAGGUGUUGCUGGGAGGAUGUUACCUCUUUGAGACACCCCAACAGAUUUUCUAAUGGAAGAGAGGAAUCAUGAAGGGGAGGAAACAUUGGUAAAAUAAUGCAAAUUUUGCAUUUCUGGAACUGAACUUUAUAGAUGUACCAGAAUUUUUUUGCAGGAAAGUUCAGUCUGUUCUGCAGAUACUCUCACCAGUCCAGAAGCGCUUUAAAUGAAGAUCGUGAUCCAUCCACCUACGUAAAAUCAUCAGCAUCGUAUACCACUAUAAAGGCUCAGCUUCAUCAGAUAUGAGUGCAAUGGAAAAAGGACGCCACUCGAAGAGAAUGUACAACAGCAAGAGCUAACAAGAGAAUACACAUCUGGCAGUUAGCUUAAUACUAUCAUAAUUCUAACAGAACAUGAUUGGACGACGGCAGCACUGGAUUCUGGAGUAUAUAAUCUCUAUAUGACAAACCAAGUCACCUGCAUCAACAACAGGCUACAUCAUGUGCUUCAGGGAGUUCCUACGCUUCUGCAUUAGGUUGCCUGGGAGAAGAUCCGUACUUUCAAGUUCGAAAGAACAGUAUUCGCGAAAAGAACAGCCUGCAAGCCAACUAGAGAGCCAGACUGCCAAAGAACAGACUCCCGACAGACACAGACACCCGAAGCCAAAACAGUCUAUGAGCCUACGCAGAUCAUAGGCAAUCUUUUUCAUUUCUUGAAUUAGAUAUAUUGGUAGAAUUAAUUACUGCGGGUGCAGGAUUCUUUAAAUCAAAGGUUCAGUCUGAUGUUGUGACACUGAAUGAGUCUAAAAUAAGUGGUGACCAGAUUGGCGUCUAUAUUGCCCAAUCGUUUAUUUGUGUCAAAAUUCUUUGGGCUAUUUCUCUAAGGAAAAAGGAAAGAAGAUGCCCUGGCUGUCGAACUUCGGGGAUGUUCAACUUGCCAUCGUAGAAAAAGUUUCUGGCACUUAAAAUCAACUCUCCAGCCAGCCUAUCAAUAUUGAAUAUUAUGCACACCUUCAUGUUGAACGAUCUUGUUGUACUGUAUUCUUGGGUUGGACACAGACAAAAAAUGAGUCUCUCUACCAACUUCACCGCAGUUGUUAACUUGUUGCAUGAUUCAGAUAUUGUCUGUCUUGAAGUCAGUGCCAGUUGCAACAGAUAAAUCAAUAAGUGACACAGCGAGAAUUCGACUGAUCAAAGUGAAAGAUCAGUUGGAAAAUGCCGCAAAGAAAAGAAGUUGAGAACAAAGAAUGACUUAUUUUCAGUAGAAGGAGAAAAGAAAAAGAAUGAAGAACAAGAUGAAGAAGACUUCCUGCAGGAGAACAGUCAAGCAUCUCGUGACAACAAGGACUUUCAAUGGAUAAUCUAAAUUUUCGUAACGUUGAUGUAAUUUUUCAUUGCUGAAAGAUUUUUCAACUGGUUUUACUAAAAUUGUCUUGGUUGUUAUUUUAUGUUUAUUGAGAUUAUAUAUUAUAUUUAUAAUAUA